GCCGGGCGUUGUGGUGGGAGCCUGUGGUCCCAGCUACUUGGGAGGCUGAGGCAGGAGACUCGCUUGAGCCCAGGAGUUGGAGGUUGCUGUGAGCUGUGAUGCCAUGGCACUUUACCCAGGGGGAUAGCUUGAGGCUCCGUCUCAAAAAAAAAAAAAAAAAAAGACAGAGUCUCGCUCUGUUGCCCCUGGAUAGAGUGUAGUGCAUCACAGCUCACUGCAACCUCAACUGCUAGGCUCAAGCGAUCCUCCUGC
rnacentral:sRNA from 1 species